GAUGAACGCUGGCGGCGUGCCUAAUACAUGCAAGUCGAGCGAACGGACGAGAAGCUUGCUUCUCUGAUGUUAGCGGCGGACGGGUGAGUAACACGUGGAUAACCUACCUAUAAGACUGGGAUAACUUCGGGAAACCGGAGCUAAUACCGGAUGAUAUUUUGAACCGCAUGGUUCAAAAGUGAAAGACGGUCUUGCUGUCACUUAUAGAUGGAUCCGCGCUGCAUUAGCUAGUUGGUAAGUUAACGGCUUACCAAGGCAAUGAUGCAUAGCCGACCUGAGAGGGUGAUCGGCCACACUGGAACUGAGACACGGUCCAGACUCCUACGGGAGGCAGCAGUAGGGAAUCUUCCGCAAUGGGCGAAAGCCUGACGGAGCAACGCCGCGUGAGUGAUGAAGGUCUUCGGAUCGUAAAACUCUGUUAUUAGGGAAGAACAUAUGUGUAAGUAACUGUGCACAUCUUGACGGUACCUAAUCAGAAAGCCACGGCUAACUACGUG
rnacentral:rRNA from 1 species